ACAAGCGUUUGAAAGAUUUUCCUGCGGCUGCCUCUUUUCCUUCUCUGUUAAAUCCGGCUUUGAACACAAUGCCUUGGCCUGUCCUUGCAGCUCCGGUUGAAGCAGUCGGUUUCUGUUGAUGGCAGCGUUCAAGCCGAGGUUUCGGAACUAGCGUAUGGGAAUGAUAUUCGUGCGCAACAGCCGGAAGCAGCUAAAUCGGAACUUGAACGCUGCCUAUAACAUACGUCGACUGCUAAGAGCGGAACUUGAUGGAACGGAGAGAUCGACAUAGUUCAAUUCGGAGAUAAUGGGGAAGAAAAGCAGACAGUUGUAUCAACACCUCAUAUAGACUGAGGUUGAUAACGCUGGGAAGCGACACACAAACUUUAGGUUGUAAGCACGUCUUCGCUAGGCAGAACAUCAAUCGCUUUGGUCGUACAAGGGCAGCGAAGAGACUUGGCGGGUCCAGCUGACAUGGUAGAGUCCAUCUUCCAGGCCUCUCGAGGCAGGCGAUUCCCCCAGACCGUAUCCUAAACGCAGACGCUUGUCCAGUGCCUGUGAGAGCUCCGCCAUUCGGAGCGGCGGACGUCGAGCUGCCAGCACCUGGCCAUUCGCGCGGGGGUCCGGGUAUUCAGGGUCAGCACCCGAUGCACCUUACCAGAAUCACCGGUCGCGCGGUUACUGGAAGCGUCUCGGAAAGUAACGAAUGCUCCUUGCAAGCAAGUACUGCAAUGCACCGCAGUCGAACAAGUAUUUGUAUCGGGAAUUGGAUUUCGAAGGAUCCAGGGAGCGUUUGUGUUUUUUAUUUGACAAAAUGUCUACACAGGCCAGCGGUUCCCGAUGCCACCGUUCGCAUGCCGAGGCGAUCCCAAGUUCGGGUAUCGACCGCGCUAUGGAAAAAGGGAUAGAAACCAACCAUGAAAUAGCAACUUGAUAACAAUUUCGUUCGAACUGCAUCGUCAGCGUUCGAAAGGGGGAAAACUUUCCGUUUUUUCAAAAGAUUAUUUUCUAGGCGGAAGAUCCCGCGAGCUGGACGAGUCCACCGGAGUUUUUGCUCCGUAUUCCUCUGCAGUGGCGGGUGCUGUAGUGACAUCUGUGCAGCUCGUCCGCAACGCAAUUCACUCUGGGACUAGGGGCAGGUAGGCUGCGUCUGGGCGUCGCCCCGGUUGCACUGGACUCCUAGUAUAUCGCAUCGCAUUGCCGCACGCAGAAGCUCUACCUGCGCGGUUUGCAGGCUCCCAGAAUGAUUAUGCACUCCGACCCCGUUGUAGGUGAACAGCGCUUCGAGCUGACGCGCUCAGCGGCAUCCCAAAGCCGUGCUGCUUCCAUACUGCAUCCGUACCAGCAGUGUGCGCGCUGCAGGGGGCGGCGCUCGGAGCAGGUAGUCGGCGCACAACAGAAUGUGCGAAAUAACCAGUAUAUCCGAGAACAGGUCAUAGACAUUUGACGUAGGGUACAGCAUGAUGGACACUUUCCCGAAAGCCAAUACCCAUCCCGCAAUCUAGGAUCCAUGGUAAAUGUAAACGGUUUGUCAGAC